rnacentral:rRNA from 1 species
UACGUAGGGUGCAAGCGUUAAUCGGAAUUACUGGGCGUAAAGCGUGCGCAGGCGGUCCGUUAAGACAGAUGUGAAAGCCCCGGGCUCAACCUGGGAAUUGCGGUUGAAACUGGCGAACUAGAAUCUGGCAGAGGGGGGUGGAAUUCCACGUGUAGCAGUGAAAUGCGUAGAGAUGUGGAGGAACACCGAUGGCGAAGGCAGCCCCCUGGGCUGAGAUUGACGCUCAGGCACGAAAGCGUGGGAAGCAAACAGG